rnacentral:rRNA from 1 species
GACGAACGCUGGCGGCGUGCUUAACACAUGCAAGUCGAACGAAGUGGCGAACGGGUGAGUAACGCGUAAUCAACCUGCCCUUCAGAGGGGGACAACAGUUGGAAACGACUGCUAAUACCGCAUACUGAAGGUGGGGAUUGCGUGGGAUUAGCUAGUUGGGGGGGUAACGGCCCACCAAGGCGAUGUUCAAUAGCCGGUCUGAGAGGAUGAACGGCCACACUGGGACUGAGACACGGCCCAGACUCCUACGGGAGGCAGCAGUGGGGAAUCUUCCGCAAUGGACGAAAGUCUGACGGAGCAACGCCGCGUGUGUGAAGAAGGUCUUCGGGUUGUAAAGUACUGUCAGCAGGGAAGCGGUACCCGACGAGAAAGCACCGGCUAACUCCGUGCCAGCAGCCGCGGUAAUAC